rnacentral:rRNA from 1 species
GACGAAGGUGGCAAGCGUUGUUCGGAAUCACUGGGCUUAAAGCGCACGUAGGCGGUCUAUCAAGCGUCUUGUGAAAUCCCACGGCCUAACCGUGGAACGGCUGGGCGAACUGGUAGACUUGAGGCAGGUAGGGGCGCGUGGAACUCUUGGUGGAGCGGUGGAAUGCAUAGAUAUCAAGAGGAACGCCGGAGGCGAAGGCGACGCGCUGGGCCUGUCCUGACGCUGAGGUGCGAAAGCCAGGGGAGCAAACGGG